rnacentral:rRNA from 1 species
AAAUUGAAGAGUUUGAUCAUGGCUCAGAUUGAACGCUGGCGGCAGGCCUAACACAUGCAAGUCGAACGGUAACAGGAAGCAGCUUGCUGCUUUGCUGACGAGUGGCGGACGGGUGAGUAAUGUCUGGGAAACUGCCUGAUGGAGGGGGAUAACUACUGGAAACGGUAGCUAAUACCGCAUAAUGUCGCAAGACCAAAGAGGGGGACCUUCGGGCCUCUUGCCAUCGGAUGUGCCCAGAUGGGAUUAGCUAGUAGGUGGGGUAA